rnacentral:rRNA from 1 species
UACGUAGGGUGCAAGCGUUUAAUCGGAAUUACUGGGCGUAAAGCGUGCGCAGGCGGUUUUGUAAGCCGGAUGUGAAAUCCCCCGGGCUUAACCUGGGAAUGGCAUUCGGGACUGCAAGGCUGGAGUGCGGCAGAGGCGAGUGGAAUUCCUGGUGUAGCGGUGAAAUGCGCAGAUAUCAGGAGGAACACCAAUUGCGAAGGCAGCUCGCUGGGACGUUACUGACGCUGAGACGCGAAAGCAUGGGGAGCGAACAGG